rnacentral:rRNA from 1 species
GACGAACGCUGGCGGCGUGCUUAACACAUGCAAGUCGAACGGAAAGGCCCUGCUUUUGUGGGGUGCUCGAGUGGCGAACGGGUGAGUAACACGUGAGUAACCUGCCCUUGACUUUGGGAUAACUUCAGGAAACUGGGGCUAAUACCGGAUAGGAGCUCCUGCUGCAUGGUGGGGGUUGGAAAGUUUCGGCGGUUGGGGUUGGACUCGCGGCUUAUCAGCUUGUUGGUGGGGUAGUGGCUUACCAAGGCUUUGUCGGGUAGCCCGCCCGAGAGGGUGACCGGCCACAUUGGGACCGGGAUAACGGCCAGACUCCUACGGGAGGCAGCAGUGGGGAAUAUUGCACAAUGGGCGGAAGCCUGAUGCAGCAACGCCGCGUGCGGGAUGACGGCCUUCGGGUUGUAAACCGCUUUCGCCUGUGACGAAGCGUGAGUGACGGUAAUGGGUAAAGAAGCACCGGCUAACUACGUG